rnacentral:rRNA from 1 species
AUACGAAGGGGGCAAGCGUUGUUCGGAAUAACUGGGCGUAAAGCGCACGUAGGCGGAAUGUUAAGUUAGAGGUGAAAUCCCAGGGCUCAACCCUGGAACUGCCUUUAAUACUGGCAAUCUAGAGACCGAGAGAGGUGAGUGGAAUUCCGAGUGUAGAGGUGAAAUUCGUAGAUAUUCGGAGGAACACCAGUGGCGAAGGCGGCUCACUGGCUCGGUACUGACGCUGAGGCGCGAAAGCGUGGGGAGCAAACAGGAUUAGAAACCCGAGUAGUCC